rnacentral:lncRNA from 1 species
ACAACUUGUACUGGGUUUUGGCACAUGAAUUGGGCCGUUCCUUUGGACUUUCUCAUUCUACUAACAUCGGGGCUUUGAUGUACCCCAACUACAUCUACACUGGUGAAGUUUAUCUGUCUCAGGAUGACAUCAGUGGCAUCCAGGCCAUCUAUGGGCCAUCUAAUAAACCACAGCUGGUCCCAGUGCCACAAAUCCCACAGCCCUGUGAUAACUGGGCUGUCUCUGACUGUCUGGCUGGAAUCAGCUCUCUACACUCUGCUGAGCGUUGAACAGCCCAGAGUCCAGACAGGGAAGGCCUCCCUUUCUGUGUGUGAGUGUGAUAACAGGAUAACAUUUGAUGCUGUUACCAAAAUUCUUGGGGAAUUGCUCUUCUUCAAAGACAGUUCCAAGAUUUUUCUACUUCUUUUAUGGAAAAGAGAAGUACAAACCUGAUCCUAAAAUCAAGCAAGUUUCUGUCCUCCUGAAUACUAACAGCUGGUUCAACUGCAGAAGUAACUGAUUGAUGCCUCAGUUGAUUGAUUGAUUCUCACAAAGGAGAUGGAAGAACUAUUUCUAACUCACCCAAGGAAGGUGAGUUUUCUGAGAAACCAGAUAUUUCAGUAUUUUAUUUGAAUCUCUAGGUAAUAACAAGGCGGCUGCUGCUGCUGCUAAGUCGCUUCAGUUGUGUCCGACUCUGUGCGACCCCAUAGAUGGCAGCCCACCAGGCUUCCCCGUCCCUGGGACUCUCCAGGCAAGAACACUGGAGUGGGUUUCCAUUUCCUUCUCCAAUGCAUGAAAGUGAAAAGUAAAGUGAAGUCGCUCAGUCAUGUCCGACCCUCAGCGACCCCAUGGACUGCAGCCUUCCAGGCUCCUCCAUCCAUGGGAUCCUCCAGGCAAGAGCACAGACACAUAAACACAACCUUGUUUAACCUCAGUCUGGACAUAUUCCAUGUUGACUAGAUCACACUGCUUUGUGAACUUAUACUACUUAAUUUUAAUUGAGUGCUGAGCACGUCAAGGUCAUAGUUUAUCUUUAGGUUUUCACAGAGCAAAACUCUUUACCAAUAUUCUAUGAUAGUUCAGUAAUUACAUUUCUCAUAGUAACUACAUUCUCAAAUAUUAUGUCUCUGCACCUGCGUGCCCAGUCACUUCAGUCAUGUCUAACUCUUUUCAACCCCAUGGACUACAGACUGCCAGGCUCCUCUUCCACGGAAUUCUCCAGGCAAGAAUACUGGAGUGGGUUGCCAUGCCCUCCUCCAAGGGAUCUUUCUAACACAGGGACUGAACCCGCAUCUCCUGCGUCUCCUGCAUUACAGGAAGAUUCUUUACUGCUAAGCGACCGGGAAGCCCAAGAACCAAGUAGGUGCUCAAUAAAACUUUUUAAUAAAUGUAUGCA